rnacentral:tRNA from 1 species
GCCCCAGUGGCGGAAUUGGUAGACGCAGGGGACUGGCACUCCCCCGGCCUUUGCAGUACCAAGCUGCAAGCCGUCCGGGUUCAACUCCCGGCUGGGGCACCA